rnacentral:rRNA from 1 species
GUGGGGAAUAUUGCACAAUGGGGGAAACCCUGAUGCAGCAACGCCGCGUGAGUGAAGAAGUAUUUCGGUAUGUAAAGCUCUAUCAGCAGGGAAGAAGAUGACGGUACCUGAGUAAGAAGCCCCGGCUAACUACGUGCCAGCAGCCGCGGUAAUACGUAGGGGGCAAGCGUUAUCCGGAUUUACUGGGUGUAAAGGGAGCGUAGACGGUCAUGCAAGUCUGGAGUGAAAGGCGGGGGCCCAACCCCCGGACUGCUCUGGAAACUGUAAGACUAGAGUACAGGAGGGGUAAGCGGAAUUCCUAGUGUAGCGGUGAAAUGCGUAGAUAUUAGGAGGAACACCAGUGGCGAAGGCGGCUUACUGGACUGAAACUGACGUUGAGGCUCGAAAGCGUGGGGAGCAAACAGG